GGAGGGGUGGCAGAGUGGUUAAUUGCACCGGUCUUGAAAAUCGGUAAGGGUUUAAACUCUUCCAGGGUUCGAAUCCCUGUCCCUCCG
rnacentral:tRNA from 1 species